GCUCCUAUAAUACCACGGUUGAAACGUCUGUUCAGAAACGGAGAGCAUGCCAAGUUGAUGCGAUGGCACAGUGAGGACCGUAAGAAAGACGGGAAGUUGAGAUCACCCGCUGACGGGUCGCAGUGGAGAAAAAUCGAGAGAAAGUACUGGGAUGAGUUUGCAAGUGAGCCAAGGAACGUAUGGUUUGCUUUAAGCGCGGAUGGCAUUAAUCCUUUCGGGGAGCAGAGCAGCAAUCAUAGCACCUGGCCCGUCACUCUAUGUAUGUAUAACCUUCCUCCUUGGAUGUGCAUGAAGCGG
rnacentral:rRNA from 1 species